AUGAGUUCUCACGAGAUCUGUUGGCUUUAUAAGUGGUGGUUUCCCCUGUUCUCGCUCUUUCCUGCUGCCUUGUGAAGAAGGUGCUUGCUUCUCCUUUGCCUUGUGCCGUGAUUGUAAGUUUCCUGAGGCCUCCCCAACCAUGCAGAACUGAGCAGACAAUUGAGAGGCCUGGCUCAUGGAUGGGUUUGAACCACCUCAGGACUGAAGAUGAGCGGCUCAGUUUCACUAACAACAAGAACAGUGACAAAUUCCCUGCCCGGCCAAAGUCCUGUGGUCCUUAUGCAGAUGCCAGUGGCACCCCUGUCCCAGAUGUGACAACCAAAAAUGAUGUCAGACAUUGCUGAAUUGUCCCCUGGAGGAGGAGAAAAAUCAACCCCUUUGAGAACUGCUGGGCAGCUCUAAAGGCACUGGCGAAUCCUGAGACCUUCUCAGGCCUAUAUCAGCCAGGAUCUUCAUUUAUUGUCUGGAUACCUGUUUCUGGAAGGCAUCCUAGUCUCUUCCUUUCAUAAAUGAAAGGAAGGGAGAGUGAAGAGUAUACUUCCCCUCAAAGAAAGAGAAAAGCAAUAUAAAGAAUUAAUCAAUGCUACCCAAAGAAGAUGGUUUGUUCCACAUAG